rnacentral:rRNA from 1 species
GGACUACUGGGGUAUCUAAUCCUGUUUGCUCCCCACGCUUUCGCGCCUCAGCGUCAGUUACAGCCCAGAAAGUCGCCUUCGCCACUGGUGUUCCUCCACAUCUCUACGCAUUUCACCGCUACACGUGGAAUUCCACUUUCCUCUUCUGCACUCAAGCUUUGCAGUUUCCAUCGCGACUCGAAGUUGAGCUCCGAGUUUAAACGACAGACUUACAAGGCCGCCUGCGCGCGCUUUACGCCCAAUAAUUCCGGACAACGCUUGCCCCCUACGUAUUACCGCGGCGGCUGGCAC